AUCCGAAGUAUGCUGGCCACAAGCUCACAAGAACUCAAAUUUCCACUUGGAUACCUUAUCUUUGAUGGCAGCAUGCAUGCCUGGCCAGAACAGAACACCUUGGGCUCUGUUCCUGCACUUCUCAAUACUCAAAUGGGCACUAUUCAUAGAUUUUGAAGUCAUCCCCAUCCUCCAGGAAACUCUCAGGAAGUGACAGAUUCAAGGUCAUACUCUUGUGCCCACCAGACCCACUGGAAAUUGCUUCACCUGGGAGAAGAUGAAUGAAGCAGAUGUACAAGCAGAGCAUGGGAGAAGCAACAACAUA
rnacentral:lncRNA from 1 species